rnacentral:lncRNA from 1 species
ACGCAACACGGCAGUUACGUCGCAAUAACUAGACUUAUCUCCACUGCGCUGCGAUAAGUCAGCGCUUAUUGACUCCUUACUGCCGUGUAGCGUUACAAACCGCCACGGCCCCAAACGAUAAUCCCAAUCUCUCAAACCGACAAUAGCCUCCACUCAUGCCUCAAGCGGCCUAGCAACUCAUUCGUGGCCCUCAGCGGCCUCCUACCUCCGGCCUCGCAGCUCCCGAUACCCCACCAAGUCCGCCGUGCCCGCCCCAGCCCGCCCGUGUUGAGGUUGCACUAGUGGCCGAAAGUGCUGCCAGUACUGGGUGUGUCGCAUGUAUGAAGUGCCUGAUAGCAGCAGAGUCCAGACAACCACGCACGCCGCAGCGCCCACGGGUGCCACCACAUUAAUCCGCGGCGGCACCAGGGGGGGCGGGUGGGUUGUCACCGUCCCGGCAGAGGGACGAUCCGAAAUACAGUACAGAAGCACAACGGCAGAUAAGGCGCCGUGUGCUCCUGACGCGUACAAGACCCAGCUCGGUUCGGCCCCAUGCACAGGCACGUACCCGAGCGUCCUGCGCCGUGCGUGACUCUAACGCAACACGGCAGUUACGUCGCAAUAACUAGACUUAUCUCCACUGCGCUGCGAUAAGUCAGCGCUUAUUGACUCCUUACUGCCGUGUAGCGUUACAAACCGCCACGGCCCCAAACGACAAUCCCAAUCUCUCAAACCGACAAUAGCCUCCACUCAUGCCUCAAGCGGCCUAGCAACUCAUUCGUGGCCCUCAGCGGCCUCCUACCUCCGGCCUCGCAGCUCCCGAUAACCCCACCAAGUCCGCCGUGCCCGCCCCAGCCCGCCCGUGUUGAGGUUGCACUAGUGGCCGAAAGUGCUGCCAGAGUUUGGUAGUAGUCCUCAACGCCGGGAGGUCAUGGUGCGGGCGACGGCAGCCCUGGUGGCUGGGCUUGAUUGGCUUCGCGUAUGCAGCUCUUCUCGCAAAGCGC